rnacentral:misc_RNA from 1 species
GAUGAAGAACGUAGUGAAAUGCGAUAAGUAGUGUGAAUUGCAGAAUUCAGUGAAUCAUCGAAUCUUUGAACGCACAUUGCGCCCGCCAGUAUUCUGGCGGGCAUGCCUGUUCGAGCGUCAUUACAACCCUCAGGCCCCCGGGCCUGGCGUUGGGGAUCGGCGGAAGCCCCCUGCGGGCACAACGCCGUCCCCCAAAUACAGUGGCGGUCCCGCCGCAGCUUCCAUUGCGUAGUAGCUAACACCUCGCAACUGGAGAGCGGCGCGGCCACGCCGUAAAACACCCAACUUCUGAAUGUUGACCUCGAAUCAGGUAGGAAUACCCGCUGAACUUAAGCAUAUCAAUAAGCGGAGGA